rnacentral:rRNA from 1 species
UACAGAGGUCUCAAGCGUUGUUCGGAUUCAUUGGGCGUAAAGGGUGUGUAGGUGGCGCCGUAAGUCGGGUGUGAAAUUUCGGAGCUUAACUCCGAAACUGCAUUCGAUACUGCGGUGCUUGAGGACUGGAGAGGAGACUGGAAUUCAUGGUGUAGCAGUGAAAUGCGUAGAGAUCAGGAGGAACACCGGUGGCGAAGGCGGUUCUCUGGGCAUUACCUGACGCUGAGGAGCGAAAGUGUGGGGAGCGAACAGG